rnacentral:rRNA from 1 species
AAUGAACGGCUGGCGGCGUGCCUAAUACAUGCAAGUCGAACGCACAGCGAAAGGUGCUUGCACCUUUCAAGUGAGUGGCGAACGGGUGAGUAACACGUGGACAACCUGCCUCAAGGCUGGGGAUAACAUUUGGAAACAGAUGCUAAUACCGAAUAAAACUCAGUGUCGCAUGACACAAAGUUAAAAGGCGCUUUGGCGUCACCUAGAGAUGGAUCCGCGG